AGAGUUUGAUCAUGGCUCAGAAUGAACGCUGGCGGCGUGCUUAACACAUGCAAGUCGAACGAAGCGCCUUGAAUUGAUUUCUUCGGAUUGAUUUUCUUGGCGACUGAGUGGCGGACGGGUGAGUAACGCGUGGGUAACCUGCCUCAUACAGGGGGAUAACAGUUAGAAAUGACUGCUAAUACCGCAUAAGCGCACGAUACCGCAUGGUAUUGUGUGAAAAACUCCGGUGGUAUGAGAUGGACCCGCGUCUGAUUAGCUUGUUGGCGGGGUAACGGCCCACCAAGGCGACGAUCAGUAGCCGACCUGAGAGGGUGAUCGGCCACAUUGGGACUGAGACACGGCCCAAACUCCUACGGGAGGCAGCAGUGGGGAAUAUUGCACAAUGGGGGAAACCCUGAUGCAGCGACGCCGCGUGAAGGAUGACGUAUUUCGGUAUGUAAACUUCUAUCAGCAAGGAAGAUGAUGACGGUACUUGACUAAGAAGCCCCGGCUAACUACGUGCCAGCAGCCGCGGUAAUACGUAGGGGGCAAGCGUUAUCCGGAUUUACUGGGUGUAAAGGGAGCGUAGGCGGCCAUGCAAGUCAGAAGUGAAAGCCCGGGGCUCAACCCCGGGACUGCUUUUGAAACUGUAAGGCUAGAUUGCGGGAGAGGUAAGCGGAAUUCCUAGUGUAGCGGUGAAGUGCGUAGAUAUUGGGAGGAACACCAGUGGCGAAGGCGGCUCUCUGGCCUGUUUCUGACGCUGAGGCGCGAAAGCGUGGGGAGCGAACGGGAUUAGAUACCCCGGUAGUCCACGCCGUAAACGAUGGGUGCUAGGUGUAGGAGGUAUCGACCCCUUCUGUGCCGUAGUUAACACAAUAAGCACCCCGCCUGGGGAGUACGGCCGCAAGGUUGAAACUCAAAGGAAUUGACGGGGGCCCGCACAAGCGGUGGAGCAUGUGGUUUAAUUCGACGCAACGCGAAGAACCUUACCAGGGCUUGACAUCCCCUGACCGCGUAUGAAAGUACGUUUUUUAUCUUCGGAUAGACAGGGAGACAGGUGGUGCAUGGUUGUCGUCAGCUCGUGUCGUGAGAUGUUGGGUUAAGUCCCGCAACGAGCGCAACCCUUGUGUUUAGUUGCCAGCAUGAAAGAUGGGCACUCUAGACAGACCGCCGUAGAUAAUACGGAGGAAGGUGGGGAUGACGUCAAAUCAUCAUGCCCCUUAUGACCUGGGCUACACACGUGCUACAAUGGGAUGAACAGAGGGUAGCGAAGUAGUGAUACGGAGCCAAUCUCAAAAAACAUCUCCCAGUUCGGAUUGCAGGCUGCAACUCGCCUGCAUGAAGUAGGAGUUACUAGUAAUCGCAAAUCAGAAUGUUGCGGUGAAUGCGUUCCCGGGGUUUGUACACACCGCCCGUCACACCACGAAAGUCGGCAACACCCGAAGUCAGUGAGCUAACCAAUAGGAGGCAGCUGCCUAAGGUGGGGUUAAGAUUGGGGUGAAGUCGUAACAAGGUAGCCGUA
rnacentral:rRNA from 1 species